rnacentral:rRNA from 1 species
UCUCAGUUCAGAUUGCAGGCUGCAACUCGCCUGCAUGAAGUUGGAAUUGCUAGUAAUCGCGAAUCAGAAUGUCGCGGUGAAUACGUUCCCGGGCCUUGUACACACCGCCCGUCACACCAUGAGAGUCGAUAACACCCGAAGCCUGUGAGCUAACCGUAAGGAGGCAGCAGUCGAAGGUGGGGUUGAUGAUUGGGGUGAAGUCGUAACAAGGUAAC